CUAACUGAGCGGUAAGACCGUUCCAGGUUGUCUUAAGUGUUCCCUUCCAUCUGGUGGGCCAUAGCUUAAGCACUACGAAUCUGGAAGGCUCGCUUUUUUA
rnacentral:sRNA from 12 species